CGAUUCGCCCUUGGGGUGCAGCAGGCGCGAAACCUUUACAAUGCUGGCAACAGCGAUAAGGGGACCUCGAGUGCUACGAUACAAUCGUGGCUGUCUAGUUGCCUAAAAAGCAAUUGAUAGCAAGGGCCGGGCAAGACCGGUGCCAGCCGCCGCGGUAACACCGGCGGCUCGAGUGGUAACCGCUAUUAUUGGGUCUAGAGGGUCUGUAGCCGGCUUAGUUAGUCUCUUGAGAAAUCUGGCCGCUCAACGGUCAGGCGUUCAGGGGAUACUGCUAAAGCUCGAGACCGGGAGAGGUGAGAGGUACUUCAGGGGUAGGGGUGAAAUCUUGUAAUCCUUGAAGGACCACCAGUGGCGAAGGCGUCUCACCAGAACGGAUCUGACGGCAAGGGACGAAAGCUAGGGGCACGAACCGGAUUAGAUACCCGGGUAGUCCUAGCCGUAAACGAUACUCGCUAGGUGUCGGCCACGGUGCGACCGUGGUCGGUGCCGUAGGGAAGCCGUGAAGCGAGCCACCUGGGAAGUACGGCCGCAAGGCUGAAACUUAAAGGAAUUGGCGGGGGAGCAC
rnacentral:rRNA from 1 species